rnacentral:lncRNA from 1 species
CUCACAGAUUGAGAUACCUUCAUGGAACUAUAAUAUUUUUUUUUAUUACUUUAUUAGUUCAUUAUGUAGUAAUAUAAUUGGUUUUUUAUAGAGUAAAACUACAUCAUCUAAUAAUGAUAAUACAUGAUUAAAAUAUGUUUUAAAUUUCAAAAUAUGUGAUAUAUUAUUUAUACAGUAUUUAAAAUUCAUGCAAGGAAAAUAUUGAAUAAUUUAGGAAAUUGUAACUAGUGAAAUUACAAUAUUGAAACGAAAAUGAAAGUACUACAUUAAGACAUAAUUAAAUAAAGAAAGUAUUUAUUUAUUUAUUUAAAGAAAAAUAAAGCAUGUUUUUUCAAAAUCAAUACAUAUAAAGCACGUUUUGAUCUAAACACACUUACAUUAGUAGACCAAAAUAUGGCACAUUAUUGAUUGGUAUAUUAGGGGUUUAUUGGGUGAAACCAUAUUAUAAGGAGUGGCAGUAUAUUUAUGAAGAGACUUCGAAAGUGGUUUUUUGGCGAUCGAAUGGUGGAUCUUCCAUGGGAGGUUGGUGGGGUUCGGGAUCUUGUGGACCGGGAUUUGGUGGUUCGUCUAGGGGCCACCCGUGGGGUGGUGGAUCUAUAAAGGGUAUUGGUUGGGAAUCUAACUGUGGAGUGAUGAGCAUCACCACUCCAAGUACAAGUAACACUAAUGAGUAUAUAGAUGCCAUGUAUAAACUUUUUAUAAUCACAUAUGGAAAAGAAAAAACAAUCUUUAUAUAUAUAGGAAAAAACAUGGGACUAUUUUCUAGGUGCACACUCGGAUAUCUCAUGAGUUUUUUUUUUAUAUUAAAUUUUUAAUUAAUAUUAUGUAUCAAUACUAUACACAACUCCAAAAUACCUAACAAUUUUAUCUAUUUUUUAGGUUGAUAGGAAAAUAAGUUUCAUUCAAAUAUAAAUAAAAAAAGUGUAAUCAAAAUGGCUAUAAGUAGGAACAUUCUCCAUCUAUAUUUUAAAAUUAAAUUUUUUGUAAUUGUCAUGAUUAAUUAUGUUAGUAUUUUUUUUAUCAUUCGCCCUACUAUGAAUAUCGGUACAAGAGAGAGUUUUUAUUACAGAGCACUAAGUCAGUUAUGUACCACCCAAUUUAAUAAAUGAGGCGGAUGCAUCUUUAAUAUUAAUAUAAAUAUAUUUAAGUUAGUUUUUUUAAAUAAGAGUUAAAAAAAUGUUGCGGUGGAAAUUUUUUGGUUAUUAUCGAAUAAAUUAUUGUGAAUGAAAAGUUGGUAUUAUUGAAAAAAAAAUUAAGUCCUAUAUUUAAAAAAAAAUAAAGUUUCAAAUGAAUUUUAUAAAAAAAAAAUUUAUGUAUUUAAGUCUUAAUUCAACUAACAAAUACAUAUAUUAUUAUAUCUUAAGCUUGAACAUGAUAUCUCACAGUUGUAUAAAAAUUUGUAGUAAUAUUUAUCUUACAAGGUAGUAGUUAUGUAAGAAUGAAUUGAGUUCAAUAAAAAGUUAAUACAUGUGGUCAUUCUUUUACUAAACCAAUGAUAUUAUAAUUAUUUUACAUUUCUAAAAAUAAUGUAGUCACGAUUACCUAUUGAUAAUGAACUUGAAUUGUCAUGUAAAUACAACUAAGUUGAUAGCAGAAAUAUUUCAUAUGUUAGGGCUUGAGUUCAAACCCUAAAUAUUUUUUUUAUAUAUAUAUUUAUUGUAUGUGAGUUUCACGGAUAAAUUAUAAAAAAAUUAUAAUAAAGAAGUUUAAUUUACUCACAAAUUAAGGGGAAUAUGUUUCCAAAGUUAAGAUUACUGAGAUCAUUAAAUAAAUUGUACACAUAUUGAAUUUUUAUUUUUGUUGACAAUAAAUAAUAAGUUUUGAUGAAUAAAUUAAGGAAAAUGUUUUUAAGUGCGAUGAUUGUCAUAUUUUAACAAAUAAAAUUGAGGAUUUACUUAACACCCUUAUAAUAUUUGUCAUAUUUAUAAUGGGAAGAGACGACUUAAAAUUUCUUUUGGAAAAAAUCAAAAGGAAAUUUAUGCAAAAGUUGGUUUUUACUAUAAUCCAAACAUGGGAAAAUCUAUUGUAAACCAUUUAACUUAAUUGGUGGUUUAUCGUGAAUAAUAAUAAAAAGACACUCAAAAUUGUAAUAAUAAUCAAUAACAUUAUUUGGAUGUUUAAUUUAUCGGAUAUCUUGUGUUUAUGGUUGAGACCUUUUUCGAUUGGUUCUACUUAAAAUGAGUUAAGUUUUAAGGAACAUAAUAGUUUUUCUUUAUUUUAUUCAAAAUAAAAUUGAUCUAGUCGUUGUCCAAAUCUUACAACUCAAGAGAGCCAUACCAAAAAUGUCAUCAAUUGUCGUUAAUGUUUUAAAUAAUUUUUAAGCAUUGAUUUGCUAUAAUCGACAUAUAAGGGGGUUGACUGUAGCAUCCACCAACAAACAUUCAUAAAAACUAUUUAAAAAUGUCUAUUCCAAACAACACAUCUAAAAGUUGUUAUGUUAAAUGGUUUUAUUGUGAUAUAAAAUAUUACACAUCCUCUAAUUACAAUGCAAGAACAAAAUAAAAUUGUAUAGAUGCUAAACAUGAAUGCAAUCCAAAGGGCACAUUUUUCAAAAGCUAACUCACCAGGAUCAAACUUAUUAGGCUUAAUUGCAGUUUUAGUCCCCUUAUUUUAGCUGAAUCGCGAAAGUAAUCCCUCCAUUUUAUUUCUCCUCAGUUUUGGUCCCUCAAACAUAAUAUUGAUCAAAAACUCGAUAAAAUUUUGUUUUAUUUUUGCAUUUAUUUAAGUCACAUCAUGCCUCAAUAUCUCAUUUGCAACAAUUGUACCUGAAAUAUAUGAUCAUAAAUGGUGUAGUACGGCUUUAAAAAAUAAAAUUUCAUCAAAUUUUAGACCAAAAUUUUAUUUGGGAGACCAAAACUGGGGAUAAACAAAAUUGGGGGACUACUUUCGCGAUUCAGUUAAAAUAGGGGACCAACACUGCAAUUAAAUCAACUUAUUAAUUUGAGUACCAAAAACCAAUACUUGAUUUGUGUUGUAGAUAUGCUUAAAGCGAAGAAUCCUAAAAACAAUAUCUUAAAAGUGGUCGUUCAAAUCACGCGAAGGGGUGGGGACAAAAACAAGUUAUGUACCUUUUUAUCACCCAAAGUUGGCUAUUCUUCAUGUGCUGACCUUGUUAAAAAAAAUUUCCAAAAAGAAUUGCAAACUUUUUUUUUUAUAUACCAAAAACUAGAGUAUUAAGGCAUUAUAUGGAAAGUAAAGGUAUAUCACAACUAUGGUGCCAUCCCAAUACCACUAUUUAUUAAGGUAAAAUGCACAUGAAUAUUGCCAAUAUGAAACGUCAAAGAAGUCGAACAACGAGUCGGUCAUGAGACAAAUUAUUAGAGCAUCUCCAACGGUAAUCAAAAUGAGUUUGUCUGUGUCAGGUGUAAUUACGUAACCUUUAGUUUUUGGCAAAUUCACUUUUGGAGAUGUACCAAACUGUCAUCACCGUUCUCUCACAAAAGAACGGUACUUUGAUAUGGUUACUUUAUUUAUUUAUUAAUUUAUAAAUAAUAAUAAAUAAAUGAUUUGUUAGUAGUUGACCCUAUUUAAUAAACAUGUGAGUUCACCGUUGAAAUAAAAAAUGAAUGAAUUAUUUUAAGAUAAUGUGAUACAAUAGACCCCACUUAACGAACCUAUAUUGAGUUCACAGUUGGAUAUGGUCUUAUUCACUAUUCAUAUAAUUAGUCAAACACGACAACAUAUCUCUAGGCCACGAUUUAUGGCCAAUAGAAUUAUUUUUAUAAAUACUAGUAUUUCUAAUAUUUUAGAGACACGUAAUCAAUCAAAUAAAUUUUAUAUCCUAUAUUUAUUAUUUAAUCAAUUUACUCUACUUUAUGCCUUCAAAGUUAAAUAAUUUAAACACCUACAUUGUACUUAAUAUUCUUUGAAAUAGUUAAAUAACUAGUAUAUGAGGAAAAAUAAUUCUUUUCCAACUAUUGUUUAAAACAAAAAGAUAAUCAAAAGUUGAUAACAAAUAAUUGUUUCUUCGGCUGAAUGUUUUUCCAACAACAAUAUUUAUAAAGUAUUGUACAUAAUAUAUAAUAGUAGUGCCAAUAAAAUUAAAAUGUCUUUAAUGUUUUAGCAUUCUAAUUUUUAUUCAAAAAAAAAAAAAAAGUUUACAGUUGUAAUUUUUAUUCAAAAAAAGUUUACAAUUAUAAUUUUAUCCAAUGAAGCAUAACCACCUUUGGAUGAUAAAAGGAAUAUGACUUAUUAUUGUCCCCACCUUCCGUCUGCUUUGAACAGCCAUUCCAAAGAUACUGUGAGUUCUUGUCCUUCAAGUACAUCUACAAUACAAAAUCAAAUCUUGGAUUUUGGUAUUCUAAUUUUGGUCCUCAAUGUGCCCUUUGUACUAUAAUGUAACAUGUGAAUUAAAUAUUUCAUUCAUCUACAUUGAUCUCGUCAUAUCAAUAUUAUCAUAAACAAACUAAUUUUUAAAUAAAAUUUAAAUAGUUUUUAGACUAAUUUGUCUAUAAUUAGUCAAUACACAAUUACAAUUAUUUUUAAUUUAUCUGUGAAAUGAUUAAAUUUUAUCAAUAAAUUUGUUUUCGGGAAGAUCACGUUGAUAUAGGAUCAACAUGUAUAAGUAUCAUAUUCAAUUACAGGAACACAUCAAAAAAUUUAACGAUAAAAAUUUUCACACAUAGACUAUUUUAAUUGAUUUUCUACAAUAUCAAUGAUAUAUUUGCUAAUUCACAAAAUCCAUAAACUAAUUUGAGUUACACUUACAAUUUCAGACUAUUUUGCAUAUUCACUUAAAAAACAAUGAUUUUCCUUAAAACUUUACUCGUCUCAAAUGGGAAAAUUUGUGGAGUUAAAAUUACAAAGGAUAUCAUCGAUCAUUAUUAUAACUUUGAAUCACUUUUAACCAUUGGUGCACCUGUCAAAGUAGUCCACAAUAUAAUCUUUCAUGUUUGGGUUAUAGUAAAAAUCAAUUUUUGCAUAAAUUUUCUUUUGAUUUUCGAUAUUUUUGUUAAGUUGUUUCUUUCCAUUAUAUAUAAAUUCCAAGGGUGUUUGUAAAUUUCUGAUUUUAUUUUUUAAAAUAUGACAAUCAUCACGCUUAAUUUUUUUUUCCCUUUUACUUUUCGCCUAGGUAGAAAAAACAAUUUCUAAUUUUUUUUUACGUAAUAUGUUAAUAUGAUAUUUUUAAAAUUUGUUUAUAUCUGAAAUGUUUAUUCAUAAAAACCUCUUAAUUUAUUGUCAACAAAGAUAAAAAUACAAUAUGUGUAAAAUUUGUUAAUCAUUUAAGUAAUCUUAACUUUGGGCAACACAUCGACUUUAUUGUGGGAAGUAAAUUCAACUUCAUCAUUAUAAUAUUUUCUAGAAAUUUAACGGCAAAAUUAACACACUAAAUAUUUAGAAUUUGAAACUACACUUCAACAAAAUAAAUAUUUCUAUAGCUAUCAUCUUAACUAUAUUUACAAGAUAAUUCAGCUUCAUUAUCACUAGGUAAUAUCGCGACUACAUUUUUUAAUGAAAUGUAAACCAAUUAUCAUAUCAUUGCUCCAGUAAACAAAUGAUCUGUGUAUUAAGUUUUUAUUAGGUUUAAUUUAUUUUUACAAAAUUAAUUUAUAAUUAAAGUGAUGAGUCUCUUUUUUAUAAAUUUAUUUUAAAUUUUAUAUUUUGUAGGACUUGAUUUUUUUUUCCUUCUAAUAAUAUCAACUUUGCAUUUGCAAAAAUUAAUUGAAAAAUAGCCUAAAAGAAAAUUAUAGAUAGCUCAUGGUAGAAAUAAAUUCCCUAAUAAUCUAAAAAUAAUAAUUCGGUAACCCAUGAUAGAAAAUUAAUUCCAUAAUAAUCUAAAAAAAAAAAUUGUGUUGCCUCCACUUCUUUGUCAUCCACAUAGGAGUGGCUUAAGGCCACUUUUUAGAAUAGAAUCAUCAUAAAAGUUAUUUUAUUUUCUCUUUAUAAUUAAAUAAAUAAUUUUUUGCAUAGAUAUAAUCUUUUUCUGCCAUGUUAUUUUUAGGAUUUCUUCGUUUGAGUAUGAUGUUGACUUGUUCGUCAUCGUUGUGUGACAUCUUUGGUUUUCUUGUCUUAAUACAUUGCUUUUAGUGGCAAAAGACUCGUUUUGUCGGUACUAUAUUUUGAGUAAAAGAUUUAUGGAGACAAUCACCAAUUUUAGCACCAUCUCUACUUUACAUAUGACUUGUCAAUAUAUGAUUGAAUUGAAAAUGUGUGAGACAACUUAUAGUCGAUAUGAGCGAACACUAAUACAUUUUUUUUAUAGAUGAAUGAGAUUAAAGAUUGUGGUGAAUGUAUUAUUCUUGACCAUUGAUCUUAUGUGAAAGAUAUUAAUUUGUUUGUUAUGAUUAAAGUUUUGAUUUUGUUACUUUUUAUUGGUUCUUGAAUUGUUUUUAUCUAUUGUUAGCAUACUUUUGUAUUUCUUAAUCAUUAAAUUUGAUUUCAAAAAAUGGAUGGAGAAUCUCUCAACUCAUAGUCAUUGUGAUUAUACUUUUCUUAUUUUAUAAUUUGAAUGAAGCUUAUUUUUCUUUAAAAAAAAUUUAGAUAGAUGGAAACUAAAUAAUAUAAUCACUUUAAGAAAAUGGACAUUUCCCUACGGAAGUUUACAGUGACAACAUUUGAGAUAUAAAAAACAUAUAGACACAAACAUUAUAAUUAUGCACCGGUGGUGUAGAUGUCCUAUACCUUAAGAUGCGGAAAUUUGUCACUAAUUGUUACAAGGAUAAAACCUAAAUAUGUGGGUAUAGACAUCAUUUAUUAUUUUUUCGUAUAAAAUUUCAAUUUUUUUUGUCCCUAUAAAAAAAAUUCUAAAUAUUUUAGUUCGUAAAAAUAAAAUUCAUUCUCUUUAAAUCCAUAUUUAAAAAAAAAUUGUAAAGAAUUUAUGCUUUUAGUUCCUAAAAAAAAGUCCCUAUAAAUUUAAAGUAGGGACUAAGAGUGAAAAAUUUUUUUUAGAAACAAAAAUUAAAAGGUCAUAAUUUUGUAGAAAUGAAUAUCUAUUUAACCAUUUAUUAUUUUUAAUUCAUAUAGAGAACAACUAAUUAAAAAAUAUUGGAAAAAAAUAUUUUAAAGGAAUUAAUUUCUCAAUUAUGUAUGAAAAAUUAAUUAUCUGCCCUAUGAAAAUUUUAAGUGGAACCAAAAUCUCAUUCCUUAACAUCUUUAUCUUUCUCUUCUGACCAAAGCAUCGUCUUUUCUCUGUUGACAACACUUCAUUCUUUCUCUUUCCAAAAUAAGACUAAUCUUCUCCUCUCUCACAAUCUUCCUCACACCGCAUCAGGAUUUUCUUUAUGUUUAUGCGAGUAUUUCCAUUAUAGGGUUUUUAUUUUUCAUCAAUCGGUAACAACCAGUGGCAACAUUUCCACACCAAUUAUUACCUAAUAGUUGCAGUUACCUGUUUUUUAACUUUGCUUGUUGUCUUUGAUUAUUGCAUUUGAAUUGUUCAUGGAAAAUUGCUUCUAAAUGGCCUUAAUUUGGGAUCUAGUUGAGUGGUAAACCAUGUAAACACAUCUUUGGUGAAGGAACUUGGAAAAUAUUUCCUUUUCCAAUAUUCACCAUUAGCUAAAUUCCCAUAUUCAAUCUCAUAUCUAGCAAUAUGUUCAAGGCUUGGUGUGUUGCGUUAUUGUUUUCUAUGACCAGAUUAAACAUAGUGGCGAUUUUAUAGGUAAUCAUUAUCAUUCAUUUGUUGUUCGAAAGACUGCAAAAUGGUAUUUGUAACUGGAGACAUAAUUCAAUUUUCCAUUCUUGCUCAUUCUUAUAUGAUUUCAAAUACCAUAUUCUCCCAUUGCAUAUGACCCUGAAAUAGUGUUGUUGGCCACGUUUGAGGAAGGAAAUGCAAUUUGAGAGGGAGGAAUGAACCCUAGUGGAAGACAACAUGGGUGUAUUGAAUAACUUGGCCUUCAACUUGGUGAAUUCAAAGGUGGCGGAUUUGUGCUAAUUUGUCUCAACUACCCUUUCUCGUAUUUCCACCUUCACGUCCCACUGGCCGUGCCAAUUUUUUGACCAUGAAUUUUAACCACUUCAAUAAAUGAAUUCGAGGAACAAUAUAGAAUUUAAAUUAAAUCCUUAAUUGUUUGAAGUUGAUAGAUUUAUGUAACCAAUCCAAGUUUUUAUGCAAAGUAGAGUAACCAAUACAAAAGUAUAAACAAGAUCAAUCAAAUUUUAAAGAAAAUAUAACUUUAUUAAUAAGAAAAGUGAACAUACAUCAUCAUUUGAAAAGUAAGAAAAACAGAAAAUCUAAGUAAGGUAGAUGUGUGCGCAUUAUACAUACAAUUUUUUAAAUGAAAAAUACCUAAUACUGAAAAAUGACCCUCCUAUUUAUAGGCUAGAACUUAGAAUGGCUAAUCUUUAUUUUCAUGACACAUGUUAUAUUCUUGUUAACUUUCCUAACUACCUAAUGGCUUCCUUUCUAAGCCUUAUUUUCCAAUCUUCUAAGUACUUAUCUUCGAAGACUAGACAUGAAAACAAAACUCAUACUUAUACCCAUUCGAACUAGCCCUAAUUUGAUGUGAAAAAUCCACUUUGACUGAGUUUGGAUUCGAGAUGUCCUCGAUUUUAACAGACUAGGUGGGGCGGGUAAUGAUGACAAUGAUACUCGCCUCGUUUUUAUGGAAAUUACAUAAUUACCUCUCUUAAAUUAGAAAUUCUCAAAUAAAAUCCUAAGUUAGAAAACCUCUUUGUUUAAACCCUAAUGAAACCGUGAUAGUUAUAAUGACUAUACCUUUCUUUUGCUUCAUGCUUUUUUUAAUUUUGUUAAAAAAUAGACAUAAAAUAUUAUUGAAUUAGUGUUAAUGUUAGUUUCUAGGUUUUCAAUUCUAGAAAAACUAUUUUAAACUUUAGUAUCUGUAGCUCACAAAUUGAGAUACCUUCAUGGAACUAUAAUAUUUUUUUAUUACUUUAUUAGUUCAUUAUUUUAUUACUAUAAUAUUUUAUUAGUUCAUAAAAUAUUACCCUAACGUAGUAAUAUAAUUGGUUUUUUAAUUUAUAGAGUAAAACUACAUCAUCUAAUAAUGAUAAUACAUGAUUAAAAUAUGUUUUCAAUUUCAAAAUAUGUGAUAUAUUAUUUAUACAGUAUUUAAAAUUCAUGCAAGGAAAAUAUUGAAUAAUUUAGGAAAUUGUAACUAGUGAAAUUACAAUAUUGAAACGAAAAUGAAAGUACUACAUUAAGACAUAAUUAAAUAAAUAAAGUAUUUAUUUAUUUAUUUAAAGAAAAAUACAGCAUGUUUUGUCAAAAUCAAUACAUCUAAAGCACGUUUUGAUCUAAACACACUUACUUUAAACAGUAGAGCAAAAUAUGGCACAUUAUUCAUUGGUAUAUAAGGGGUUUAUUGGGUGAAACCAUAUUGUGAUAGGGUAGUAGCUGAGUUGUAUAGGAGUGGCAGUAUUUUUAUGAAGAGACUUCGAAAGUGGUUUUUUGGUGAUCGAGUGGUGGAUCUUCUAUGGGAGGUUUGAGGGGUUCGGGAUUUCCUGGAUCGGGAUUUCGUGGAUCCUCUACGGGCUCCCCGUGGGGUGGUGGCUCUAAAAUGGGUAUAAUCAUUGGUUGGGAAUCUAACUGUGGAGUGAUGAGCAUCACCACUCCAAGUACAAGUAACACUGAUGAGUAUAUAGAUGCCAUGUAUAAACUUUUUAUAAUCACAUAUGGAAAAGAAAAAACAAUCUUUAUAUAUAUAGGAAAAAACAUGGGACUAUUUUCUAGGUGCACACUCGGAUAUCUCAUGA